UUCCAGCACCCCGAGUGGUCGGGACGAUUAUUGGGCCUAAAGCAUCCGUAGCCGGUUCUGCAAGUCCCCCGUUAAAUCCAGCUGCUCAACAGAUGGGCCGCGGAGGAUACUACAGAGCUAGGAGGCAGGAGAGGCAAGCGGUACUCAGUGGGUAGGGGUAAAAUCCGUUGAUCCAUUGAAGACCACCAGUGGCGAAGGCGGCUUGCCAGAACGCGCUCGACGGUGAGGGAUGAAAGCUGGGGGAGCAAACCGG
rnacentral:rRNA from 1 species